rnacentral:rRNA from 1 species
UACGAAGGGGGCUAGCGUUGCUCGGAAUGACUGGGCGUAAAGGGCGCGUAGGCGGUUUGUUUAGUUAGGCGUGAAAUUCCUGGGCUCAACCUGGGGGCUGCGCUUAAUACAGGCAGACUGGAGUGUGAGAGAGGGUUGUGGAAUUUCCAGUGUAGAGGUGAAAUUCGUAGAUAUUGGAAAGAACACCGGUGGCGAAGGCGGCAACCUGGCUCAUGACUGACGCUGAGGCGCGAAAGCGUGGGGAGCAAACAGG